CCAGGAACUUGGUCCACAUAGUGUAAUGCAGGUGUAUUUUGGACAGCACAUUUGAUCCAUCAUUUGUACAAAUUAGUAAUCUGGGUUUUAGUACACGGAUUUAAAAGGCACCAGUACGUCAGUGGUUUAUGUGCACUUGGUAAGUUCCUGGAAGGACAUAGUGCUUCUAUAUUAGAAAUGUAAGUUUGAGAAUGGUGUUACUGUCUCCUAACAAGUUCUCUGGGGCACCUUUAUUUUUAUUACUAUUAUUGUUGAUACAUGAUUAUGAUCAGAAGGCUUUUUCCCCUCGACUUUUUCCCGCAAAGACUGUCUAGACAAGUAACACCUUGCAUCUCCUGACACCUUCCGUGGUGCUGCAUGUUCCUGCCCGUGGUCUGCUGUUGAUGGGGGUUCAUUCCAUUCGGUGGGUCCUGCCACAUCAGGGUCAGCCACCUGCACUGGCUUGCAGGUGUGACUGACAACAGCCCUUAGCCAUAGAGUUCUUUCCUGGUUUAUUCCUGCAAGGUUGUUCUAACCAAAAUACUGCAAAACGUGGUUUGUUUCGUAGCAAAGUGUCCGUCUGUCACUUUGAGUGAGCCCUGGCAUCUUGGAAGCUAGGAGAAGGGCAGUGUGUGAGAUCAGUUUUGUGGAGAUUGAAAAUCUUACUUAGAACUUAGGCAGAAAGCUCAGUGCGUUCACUGUCAAACAGCAGAGUUCUGUGUGUCCUCCGUGGCUGUUCGUGCUGUUAGAGGUUCUGUGGUUUCAGGGCCACGCGGUGCGUGGUUCGCGUGCUGCCUGUUGUCGCCUGGAGGAAGGCUGUGCCUUGUGCUGGGGGACAGGAACCUUGCGCACCAUGUAAAUCCAGCACCCCCGUUCUGUGCAGUGUGCCCAGUGCCUCACUGAGGGCAGCCAGAGGCCAGCUUCUCCAUUCAGUGAGUACCCAAGUCUUAGAUGUUUCUCCUGUGCUUGGAACAAGUGUCGCCUGGCACCUGUUCUCCUAGUGGCUCUGGUAAGAGUCCCUGCAUAUGAAUCUCAAGGCCGAGCCCAGCUCCCCAAGCCCAAGUGGCCACGUGUGGCCCAGAGAGUGCGUGUACCCAGUGUGCACUGCGUGAACAGGGAGGGCCCGGUGACUUCAGACUAAAAGCAGAGUCAUUUGGAGGUACCCUGAGGGUUGGGUCAGCUGAAACAUUUCUCGCAUUGAUGACUUGCAUUGUGGUUUUUCUGCGAGUACCUUUAGCAGCUUUGAAUUCCACGUGAUCUGCCACUCCGGAUGGAUGUGACAUGCGAUGACUGGUACCAUUAUUUUGAUCAUUGUUGCAUUUAUUGCCUUUAGGGUUGAAGGAAGGGGAAGGGGUUUUGUUUUUCCAUUUUUUUCCCGUUGUUUUUUCUUUCGGUGGCUUCAACCACACUUCCUAACGCCGUGACUAACUGCUCCCUAGCCGAGUACUUCAGGCUGCGUUUAGGCUCAUGUUGCAGAUCUGCAUGCGUUGCUUGCGUUUUCCUGGUAUCUGAAUGUUGGUUCCUUGUUCUAGGAAUACAACAUCAAUUUCCAAAAUUACCAUGGGACUUGUGACAACACAAGACAUGAAUCUGUGUAUAAAAUGUAUUGGCCUUUCUCAUUGACCUGCUAUAGUAUUAUCGUGUCGUGUGUGUGCGUGUGUGAAGUCCGGCUGCCACGUAAAGCUUCAAAGGAAAACUAAAAGCAGACCAUCCUUUUUUGCAUGCCCUAUUCUAAGUAGAAUGUUCAAUGUAACUAACUAAAACUGCAUGUUAAAUAUAUUUAGGUUUUUUGUUUUCUAUCUUUGUUUUUUAUUUGUUUUCAGUUUCUGUAUAUUUGCUUACUGUGCUGUUUUAGUGGUUGUAGGGUAAAAAUGCACUGGUGAAGCAAAUGUAGUGCCAACAGAAGGCGGUUUUUCCAGUUGUAUAUGUCAUGCAGCAUUUGAAGGGACUGUGCGUUCUUGAAACAAUCGCAGUUGCUUCUAAACCAGGUUUCAUUUCUGUUGUUUUAUGUGCCAAACCCCGAAGUGCAUUGGGCUCGACUCUCUGAACGCUGCGGACCCAUUAGAAGACUGUUUUUGAUUGUCACAAAUUGUAGUGCCUGAAAACAUUCUUCAGCUGAUUGUCUUAAAAAAAAAAAAAAAGAAAGUUCUCCAAAGACAAAACAGGAACAAUUAUUAUAACAGAAAAUAAUUACAGUCAAAAUGUCUGUGGUUCCUUGGAAAUGCUGCGCUCUCUGUAUUCUCCAUCAUCAGUGCAGUUCGAACGAAUGUGUAUAGUUCAGAGGUCUUCGUGUUUGCAUUUUAAAAUUAGGUAAAUGACCUCAUCUUUCAAGCUUGAAUUCAUUUUUAAUUUUAAUUUUAUUUUAUACGAUGUGUAGACAGUUCCCUGUUCUCUGCAUUUAGAAGUAUAAACAAUAUAAAUCUGUUAAUUCUGUAAGUAAUUUUUAUAAUUAUGAUGUAACUCUAUCCUAUCCUUAAAACAUUUAAAAUAAACCCUUUAUGUGCAACUUUUGCCUGUAAAUUUUGUGCUUAUGAGCAAAAUGUGAUGUGUUGUUAAACUUCUGAGAGUUUUUAAAAGUUUUACUUGAAAAUUUUAAGUAAACUUUCCCCCCUUUUCACUACAUGUAAAUGUCAGAUUUACAUAGAAACAGAAGGAAACAAUUUUUAUUUGAAUGAUAGUGAAUAAUACCUGAAAAGGGGGCAGUAAUAAAUAACCCCGAUAUAUUAUGUAGUCCAAAAUAUUAAAGUUUGUGCUUAUCCAUUAAUGAGAAAUUUUAAUUUAUCAUAAAAUUAUAAACUUAAAAUAAUUGUUUGCGUUAAACAAUGUAUAUUUUAUACUUUCACAUCUAUUCAUACUUUAUAUAUUGCUUUUUAUUAAUACUUAAAUACCAAUUAGUGAAAUUCUAUAGUGAAGAAUCUCCGUAUUUCAAUGUUAAGGACAAAGAAGUGUGGGUCAUACUGUGAACUGUGUGUGCUCUAGGUUUUAUCUUCCUGAGUGGUUUUCUCGGUGAGAGAAAAAGAGUUCAGGCUGUGCCUGCCUUUGACUAGGUUCCUUUUUCUUGUUUCCCUGUUUGGCCCGAGGAUACCAUGGUUGAAGCUAGGGUGGGACAUGUCGCUGUUCCUGUUUGCCAGAGUGGCCACAGGAGGCUAGUCUCCGCAUGGCAGCUGCGGUGGCCUCUGCCAGGCAGUGGCCGUGGGGAUGCAGGGCCACUUCUCAGGCUCUGGUGGGAGGAACCAGCAGACAGGUGUGGGGAGGAGAUGAACGCACCCGGAAGCACAGGUGUUCAACCGGGGCUAGAUCCUACAGUCUUCUCCCGAAGGUAAAUCACUCGUCGUGGUAUCGAAGGUACAACUCAGGAAGCAUUUUCCACAAAAAAAUAACAAAGCAAGUUUAGUGUAAAGUUGGCGGUUCCAGACUGCUGUUGUAACCUGAAGAACCGAGUCUGCAGCUGUCGUCGGUGUUGGAGAGCUGCAGGGAUUGGCUUGCUGUCCACCGUUUGUUUUCCUGGCACAGCCAUAGCUCUGUGAUAAUACAUGCGUUUGACACUAGUGAAACACGGGAAAAGGUUUAAUAAGUACCUUGCCGAGCACUUUCCACCCAAUAUUUUAUUUAAUUCUUAAUCCUGUGUGGAAAGCACGACAUUUCUCCCCAUUGUGCAGUUGAAGAAGGGGGUGAGGGUCAAGUACCUGUUCCAGGAUUACAGAGACCAUGAGGACUCAGGCCCUCAGUGCUGUGCCUCGGCUCCCAGCUGCCGUGGUAACGCCUCCGAAUUAAAUUACUUCAGUGAAGUGAUUUGAUUUGAAUAGUCUGUAGUCUAAUUUCUGUGGAUAAUUUUUUAUAAUCUUAUUUCAUAAGUUGAUGACAAAAAGUGUUUUCUUAUUUCCAAAUUGCAUAAUAAAAAGUUUAAUAUUAAGUCACUGGAAUAUAGGAAUCAAUGUCUCUUUAUAGUGAGAAUUACAACCCAAAGUUUUCUUUUUUCCCCUCGAAAAAUCUUUUAUUUUGAAGAGAAAUUAUACUGGAAAAAUUUGAUUUUCACAAGACUGUAGAUACUAUUUUGUAUUCUAAAGACACUUUAAACAUGUUAUUAAGUUAAUAAUUCUUACAAAACCUGGACUUUUUAUACCCAUAGUACAGUCUCCUACCUAAUUUUUACCGUAAUUAACUUGUCCUUUGUCAUAUGUAUUUGUAGGUUUUUAGGCUGCUGAGUUUCAGAGAAGUAGGUAAGUCUAAACUUUCUCCAGACAGUCUCCAUCUGCCUUUAUAUUGGCCUUAAAACUCUUACUAGGUUUGGUAACUGGGUGGCAGACGAUCUGGAGAUACUGUGUUGGCACGUAAUUUUGCCUAAAAAUAACAUUGCAUUCUUCUUGAUUUUCCCGUGAGGGCGCUGGACUAGGUGGCACAUUGAUCCGUCAGCUCUGGUGAUGGUGACACAGAAGUGUGGGCCCUUUCCAUGCAUUUCUUUUUUACGUUGGCCGUGAACGAUAGAUAAUGAUGUGAAAAGGACAGAAGGAAGGCCAUUUAAAAACCUCGAUGUUACCAUGAAGAGUUAACAACUGGAGACUGAAAUCCAGCUGAAAUGUCUGAAUUGUCUUCAACUGUGGAUUGUGCAGGUAGCUUUAAUACUCUUGCCUUGAA